CGGCUCCCGGCUCCGGGAAAGACCUUCUGUUCUCUGCCGGCGCGGAGGGCCGCAGGAACCAGGCCUCUCGCCUCCCCACCAGCUAGGCAGGGAGCGCCCAUCUCCUGAAAAAUUACUUCCUGGGAAGCGGUGCGGGGAGACAGCUUCAAUUGCUUUCGGUUGGUGAAAAACGAAUUCGCUUCUCAGAUUGCUCUCCUAGCUGCCAGGCUCUGACGUUGAGAGGCCGGCUUUCAGCCUCGCGCUGGACCUUCCACAAGUGUUUGCACAUGACCUGGAAGACAGUCAGAGGCAGAAGUCCCUGCAAAUGCUCCUGGCUACUUCCUGCAGGCAGCUCAUGCUGCUGCAGCAGAAGACUUUCCUAUGUCUAGCUGCCAGUAUUCUGGGUGCUGGGGGCAUCCUGUUCCUAGGAUCACAGCCAUGGUGGUAUGUUCUAGAACUCAGAAAUUUACCAAAUCACUGGAUGGACCAGAGGAGUGAGCUCCAGGUUGGGUUUCCAGAAGGGACUCCCAGAACUCUUCCACCAUACAGGCCUCUCAGGGAGCUGCUCCCUCUGCCAUGGUCAGUGAGAGGGGGAAGCAGGAGCCGCCAUUGGGGUUGUUGAGUUCGUGGCUGCAACCCAGGGAUGAGGAAGCUGCUGCUACACACCCAUGAAGCUGAUGCCUGGACAUAAAUCCCUACUGAUAAGUGUUUACGACAUUUCCAGCGUGGUGCCGACACUGCAUGGAAAUGCUGCAUGGAAAGUCCUUAUACAUCUAUCUUUGUGCAUUUAUUGUGAGCACCUACUAUGAGUAAAACCUGGGCUGGUGGCUGGAGAAACAUGAAGAUGAGUAAGAGCCAAUUCCUGUUCUUGGGGAUUUAAUAAUAUAUUCAAGGGAAAAGACACAAAAUAACCAUUUCCAGGUAAACUCUGGUGGGGAGGGUGGGAGGAGAACCGUGGUUUGCUUUUGUGCCCAACACUUCACAUUCCUUACCUCUUUCUCCCCACCGAGACCUUGAGGAGCAGCCUGAGCCAGAGGACCAGCAUCCUCAUCUUCUCUCCACCUCUUACUAGGGGGGUGGCUUUGGGCCAGUUUCUUACAUUCUUUGGGCCACUUUAGUUUCCUUAUUGAAAAAUGGGGAUAAUAAUAGUGGCUACAUCUCAGUGUGAUUCUGAGGAAACCAGAAUUGUACAUGCAGAGCACAUGCACAGAACAGUGCCUGGCACAGUCAGUAAUUGAUCAAUGUGCGCUAUUGUUGUUGUGUAUAUUAGUUCUCCCCUGAUACAGAUGAGAGCUAUCUCUAACUCAGAGACUUGCCACAUCAUUAAAUUAGGAGUGAGAACUGAGCCUGGAUAAGGAAGAGGAACAGGAAUUCAACACAGUGAACACAGCAGGAAAGGCUUGUGCGAAGGCUCUGGGCUGGAGAUGUGUAAAGCAUGUCUGGAGAUGGGGAAGGUCCAUUGGGCCAGGAAACCACAGGCUCUGCUCUCCUGGAGCAGAAGCACAGCGAAAUCACAGCCGAGCAGAGGAGGGCAAGGGAGAGGGCCGCCCCAGUCUGAGAGCUGCAGGGUCUGGCUGGAACUGCUCCCGGCCAGCGGACUUCACCCGGGCGCGGGGGCCGCACCUGCCGGGCGCGGCCUGCUCUAUGGCGCCCUCUGCUGUUAGUCCGCCCCAGGCUCCGCGCCGGCCUCUCCUGGGUCCGUGGGGCCUGCGGGCUGCGGGGAUCACCGAGACCCACAUUCCCGUGGCCAGCAGCCUUUCGCUCUGCUCAGAGGAGAGGCAGAAGGGCAUAUUGCUGUUUCCCAGUCGCUUUUUACACCUGCCUUCUUCGGAUAAACCCAAAAAUCUUCCUUCAGAGAAGACGGCCCGUAUUUCCCGUUAUUUGGGGGUGGAGGUGGGGCUAAGGGCGUCAUAGGGAGAGCCUUACUUUCAACAUUCUGCAUUAUGAAACCAAGGGAGACUUUUUUUCCCAACAAGUGUGAACAUUUUUUUUCAAGAGAAUUAAAUCGUUUAUUGAUUACACA
rnacentral:lncRNA from 1 species